UUGAUCUCAAAUCAGGCAGGACUACCCGCUGAACUUAAGCAUAUCAAUAAGCGGAGGAAAAGAAACUAACAAGGAUUCCCCUAGUAACUGCGAGUGAAGCGGGAAAAGCUCAAAUUUAAAAUCUGACAGCUGUUCUGGCUGUCCGAGUUGUAAUCUAGAGAAGUGUUACCCGCGCUGGACCGUGUACAAGUCUCCUGGAAUGGAGCAUCAUAGAGGGUGAGAAUCCCGUCUUUGACAUGGACUACCAGGGCUUUGUGGUGCGCUCUCGAAGAGUCGAGUUGUUUGGGAAUGCAGCUCAAAAUGGGUGGUAAAUGCCAUCUAAAGCUAAAUAUUGGCGAGAGACCGAUAGCGAACAAGUACCGUGAGGGAAAGAUGAAAAGAACUUUGGAAAGAGAGUUAAACAGUACGUGAAAUUGCUGAAAGGGAAACGCUUGAAGUCAGUCGCAUCGACUGGAAAUCAACCUUGCUUUUGCUUGGUGUAUUUUCUGGCUUGAUGGGUCAGCAUCAAUUUUGAUCGCUGGAUAAAGGCUUGGGGAAUGUGGCAUCUUAGGAUGUGUUAUAGCCCUUGGUUGCAUACAGCGGUUGGGAUUGAGGAACUCAGCACGCCGCGAGGCCGGGUUUCGACCACGUUUACGUGCUUAGGAUGCUGGCAUAAUGGCUUUAAUCGACCC
rnacentral:rRNA from 1 species